rnacentral:rRNA from 1 species
AUUGAACGCUGGCGGCAGGCCUAACACAUGCAAGUCGAACGGCAGCACAGAAGAGCUUGCUCUUUGGGUGGCGAGUGGCGGACGGGUGAGUAAUGUCUGGGAAACUGCCCGAUGGAGGGGGAUAACUACUGGAAACGGUAGCUAAUACCGCAUAACGUCGCGAGACAAAGUGGGGGACCUUCGGGCCUCACACCAUCGGAUGUGCCCAGAUGGGAUUAGCUAGUAGGUGGGGUAAUGGCUCACCUAGGCGACGAUCCCUAGCUGGUCUGAGAGGAUGACCAGCCACACUGGAACUGAGACACGGUCCAGACUCCUACGGGAGGCAGCAGUGGGGAAUAUUGCACAAUGGGCGCAAGCCUGAUGCAGCCAUGCCGCGUGUAUGAAGAAGGCCUUCGGGUUGUAAAGUACUUUCAGCGGGGAGGAAGGCGGUGAGGUUAAUAACCUCGCCGAUUGACGUUACCCGCAGAAGAAGCACCGGCUAACUCCGUGCCAGCCGCCGCGGUAA